ACGGGCAUACAUCAUUGCAGGAUUUCUUUAGUUGAAUGGCGGCUCUUUACGCUCGCAGUUCCUGCGCCUUUUAUCUGCCAUUUAUGCAUCAAUUUAAGAUCUCUUAAAUGUGAAUCCUACUUGUGGUGUCCAACGAAAACUGCAGUCAUCAUGCCUUAUUGCUGCGUGCCGCAAUGGACAGCAUACGAGCAUCGAAUUUUGACGUGCAAUCAAGGCCGCGGCAAUGCCUGGUCGGAAAAGAAGAGAAGGGCUCGAGCGCCUGCUUACCCGGACCCCUGACUUUUCAGGAUCUUCCGUAUCCUUUUCGCAACCCACCUUAGGAAGACUCCGAGGAUACGAACUGUAUAUGGAUGGGGCCACACUAUACAUUAGUUUCCCGGCCGUUCUGCGAUCCAUCCCCCCAACGCCGAGCCAGUGGCUGAAGCUAAUAAAUUCGAAGCGGCCCAAGAAUGUGUGUGGGAAAGGGAACAGGAGAGAAAAGGUGCGGGAGAGGAGGGCAUAGAGCGCCGAACAGGAACGCCCAGAGGACGGCGUCUGCCGAAAAGAAAGAUGGAAAGAAGGAGAGAAAGAAAGCAAGAAGCGCCAAAUGUCUGCGGCCCUUACCGGUCGUCCGCUCAACCUGACGUUCGAGUCGAAGAAGCCGGGUUUCCAGAUGCGCCUCUUUUCGCGAAUGCUCUUCACAUUUUACCCCCCGCUUCCUUUCUUUUUUCUUUUCUCGUCCCUCUAUCUUCCUACGUCGCCUCUUCUCCAUUAAAGUCCCUAGGAGACUUGGGGGAUGUCUAUAGGCGCGAGGGCGAGCUUCUUCGCCUGGCUGGCUUUCGAUGCGUUCGUUGUCUUCUUCUCAUCUGUUCCUCUAUUUCUUUUACGUCCUCACGUCUUCUUUCUUUGUUUCCUUGUUCUUUUUUUGUUUUUACUUGCCAUUCGUUCACGCUUUUCGUUCUGUCUCACUCCUGCCGUUCUCCUGUUUUCUUCUGCACUUACGGCUUUCACGCACGAAACUCCGUCCUUUCAUCUCCGCCGCCACUCCCUUCUUCCCGCGUCCUCUUCGGUUCGUCUUUGGUUGGCGUAAGGUCGCCC